CUUUGUCUCUGGUAGAUUCCUGUGGUAUGACAGACCAAAAAAUAAACUUCUCAACUUGCAAAGCAGCAUUUGACCUUAGAGAUGGAAUUGCAUAGAAGUCAACUUUUUGGAAUUCAUUUGGGAAGUAUGCAUCUACAAACAACAUUUUAAAAUUCUGAAUGUGUGUGUGUGUGUGUUAUCUUCCCUACGACCCUGAAUGAAACACAGCAUGAGUUUGCAAGUGAGCUUUGCACUUAUGUGCAGCAGUUAAAAAAGGAAAGCACUUUUCCCCUGGCAAAGAAUUCACGGAGAGUUAAGGAAUCUAGUUCUGAGUGUCACCGGUAAAGCCAUGGCUUCCUAUUAUCCCCAGCCACCCACUUCAGUGGCGCAUUAGUGCAGUAAUACAUCACAAGCAGGAAAGCAGGAUGGGAAAGGAAAAGCACUUCUACAAUGUAAGCCAGCCCCUUGAUAGACUCUGGAGAGGAGUUAGCCUUGCAGAGGAAUCCACUUAUGAGAAGUCAGGGUACACCAACAGUAACACGUUCCCCAUAUUCUGCCAGGUUACCGCACAGACAGCCGCCGUGUUUUGUGCUAGUUACAUCCCUCAGAUGCGUGGCUUCAUGCCUAGACAACGGAAUUACAAUAAUCAAGUUCAGAGAGCACAGAAGCAUGAAUUACUAUCUAAUUCAAUUACAAGAGAAUGUGUCACUGUCUUAUAGCUAGGUCACAAGCAGCACUGUGUUUUGUCAACACUGCUGCUGAAGCAUCCAAAAGCAGCUUCAUUUACAUUUAUAAAUAGUCAUAACUCUGACAGUGUUGACUGAAUAUUCUUUAAAAAUUUGCCAGUCCUACUAAGUAGCUACUAAUGUAUUACAUGAAGUCUUCCACCAUGCACCUAGAAAGCACUGAAUUUUACUUCAAGCCAUGCUUAUAAAAGGAAACCAACCUCAACCUUCAGAUGGCACCUUCCAAUGGCUGGGUCACUCAGCAAGCAGUUACAAAAGGCUGGCCAAGGAUGGAGCAGGGUGACCACACCGACCACUCCUGAUUUAACACUUACUGUUAAGUUACUCAUUUACAAUUCCCCAAUAACACAAAUAUCCAGAUUUAAGAAAGUGCUUAUAGCUGGGGGCAUCUCAAUUUAUUGUAUAUAAACAAAGCUGUUAUAGCCUCAAGCACAAAAACAUAUUUUAGCUUAGAGUCUUUUAAAAAUAUCUAACCAAAUCUCAUACUCUCCCAGUCUGCCAGUAUGCAUCACCAGUAAAACAUCUCAUCAUUCUUUGUCAGGACUGCUCUGAUGUGAACCAAAAUGCACUAAGCAAGAACUACUCAGGCAUUUGUUUAAAGGGAAACAAAUCCUGCUCCAGUGCUUUCUGACUGUCGGGCCUGACUGCCAGUACGUGCCCCCACCUCCAGCAGGCCCCGCUGCAAACACACCGCUUCUGCUCCCCAGCAUUUCACUAGGAGCUCAGCUACCAGAGCAGUGGUUUAACGGAACGGAACAACUGGGGAACACAGAGCAUGGGACAGCACUGAGUAGUCAGUUUUACCUUUCUCCUAGCACUUGUAGAUCUUCACAGACUUUUAAGGCAUUUCUACACAUAGAGCAAGGGCAGCUUUAAAUAGCAGUAGAGAAUAAAGCCUCGUGUGAUCGGCAUGUGCUCUUGAACCAGACACUCUACAGCACUUUGCUACAAACAGGAUUAUUAGAUUUGGGGUUUUAAUACAAAUUUCGUUGAUGAGUGGAUAAAGAUCCUUGCCCUGAACCAGCUUUUAAUUUCUGAUAUUCUUCUGUAUAUAACAUCAACCCAUUUCUGUCUAACGUGAAGAAAACUAGAUCAUUGCUUAAUAUGAAUAAAGGCCAGUCAGUCAUGAUUGAUUUGUAUGGUCUGCUCUUCCUUCAAAAUG